CGGGAGGCAGCAGUGGGGAAUAUUGCACAAUGGGGGAAACCCUGAUGCAGCGACGCCGCGUGGAGGAAGAAGGUCUUCGGAUUGUAAACUCCUGUUGUUGAGGAAGAUAAUGACGGUACUCAACAAGGAAGUGACGGCUAACUACGUGCCAGCAGCCGCGGUAAAACGUAGGUCACAAGCGUUGUCCGGAAUUACUGGGUGUAAAGGGAGCGCAGGCGGGAAGACAAGUUGGAAGUGAAAUCUAUGGGCUCAACCCAUAAACUGCUUUCAAAACUGUUUUUCUUGAGUAGUGCAGAGGUAGGCGGAAUUCCCGGUGUAGCGGUGGAAUGCGUAGAUAUCGGGAGGAACACCAGUGGCGAAGGCGGCCUACUGGGCACCAACUGACGCUGAGGCUCGAAAGUGUGGGU
rnacentral:rRNA from 1 species